rnacentral:rRNA from 1 species
GUUGUAUGGUUAAGUGACUAAGCGUACACGGUGGAUGCCUUGGCAGUCAGAGGCGAUGAAAGACGUAGUAACUUGCGAUAAGCCCAGAUUAGGUAGUAACAACCAUUUGAGUCUGGGAUUUCUGAAUGGGGAAACCCACGUGCAUAAGCACGUAUCCUUACCUGAAUACAUAGGGUAAGGAGGCGAACCGGGGGAACUGAAACAUCUAAGUACCCCGAGGAAAAGAAAUCAACCGAGAUUCCGAAAGUAGCGGCGAGCGAAAUUGGACUAGCCCUUAAGCUUUACACGCGUUAGACGAACGGUCUGGAAAGUCCGACGAUACAGGGUGAUAGUCCCGUAGUUGACGACGUGUGUUCAGUGAAAUCGAGUAGGGCGGGACACGUGAUAUCCUGUCUGAAUAUGGGGGGACCAUCCUCCAAGGCUAAAUACUACUGACUGACCGAUAGUGAACCAGUACCGUGAGGGAAAGGCGAAAAGAACCCCUGUGAGGGGAGUGAAAUAGAACCUGAAACCGUGUACGUACAAGCAGUAGGAGCAGGCUUCGUCCUGUGACUGCGUACCUUUUGUAUAAUGGGUCAGCGACUUAUAUUCAGUGGCAAGGUUAACCAUCUAGGGGAGCCGUAGGGAAACCGAGUCUUAACUGGGCGUUCAGUCUCUGGAUAUAGACCCGAAACCAGGUGAUCUAGCCAUGGGCAGGUUGAAGGUUGAGUAACAUCAACUGGAGGACCGAACCGACUAAUGUUGAAAAAUUAGCGGAUGACUUGUGGCUAGGGGUGAAAGGCCAAUCAAACCUGGAGAUAGCUGGUUCUCCCCGAAAGCUAUUUAGGUAGCGCCUCGGACGAAUACUACUGGGGGUAGAGCACUGUUAAGGCUAGGGGGUCAUCCCGACUUACCAACCCUUUGCAAACUCCGAAUACCAGUAAGUACUAUCCGGGAGACACACGGCGGGUGCUAACGUCCGUCGUGGAGAGGGAAACAACCCAGACCGCCAGCUAAGGUCCCAAAUUACUACUAAGUGGGAAACGAUGUGGGAAGGCUCAGACAGCCAGGAUGUUGGCUUAGAAGCAGCCAUCAUUUAAAGAAAGCGUAAUAGCUCACUGGUCGAGUCGGCCUGCGCGGAAGAUGUAACGGGGCUAAGUAGUAAACCGAAGCUGCGGCAAUACUCUUUGAGUAUUGGGUAGGGGAGCGUUCUGUAAGCGGUUGAAGGUGUGUGGUAACGCAUGCUGGACGUAUCAGAAGUGCGAAUGCUGACAUGAGUAACGAUAAAGGGGGUGAAAAACCUCCUCGCCGGAAGACCAAGGGUUCCUGUCCAACGUUAAUCGGGGCAGGGUAAGUCGACCCCUAAGGCGAGGCCGAAAGGCGUAGUCGAUGGGAAACGGGUUAAUAUUCCCGUACUUCUUACAAUUGCGAUGGGGGGACGGAGAAGGCUAGGUGGGCCUGGCGACGGUUGUCCAGGUUCAAGUGCGUAGGCUUGAGAGUUAGGUAAAUCCGGCUCUCUUUAAGGCUGAGACACGACGUCGAGCACCUACGGGUGUGAAGUCAUUGAUGCCAUGCUUCCAGGAAAAGCCUCUAAGCUUCAGAUUGUAAGGAAUCGUACCCCAAACCGACACAGGUGGUCGGGUAGAGAAUACCAAGGCGCUUGAGAGAACUCGGGUGAAGGAACUAGGCAAAAUGGUACCGUAACUUCGGGAGAAGGUACGCUCUUGAUGGUGAAGUCCCUCGCGGAUGGAGCUGACGAGAGUCGCAGAUACCAGGUGGCUGCAACUGUUUAUUAAAAACACAGCACUGUGCAAAAUCGUAAGAUGACGUAUACGGUGUGACGCCUGCCCGGUGCCGGAAGGUUAAUUGAUGGGGUUAGACUUCGGUCGAAGCUCUUGAUCGAAGCCCCGGUAAACGGCGGCCGUAACUAUAACGGUCCUAAGGUAGCGAAAUUCCUUGUCGGGUAAGUUCCGACCUGCACGAAUGGCGUAAUGAUGGCCACGCUGUCUCCACCCGAGACUCAGUGAAAUUGAAAUCGCUGUGAAGAUGCAGUGUACCCGCGGCUAGACGGAAAGACCCCGUGAACCUUUACUACAGCUUGGCACUGAACAUUGACCCUACAUGUGUAGGAUAGGUGGGAGGCUUUGAAGCACGUACGCCAGUAUGUGUGGAGCCGUCCUUGAAAUACCACCCUUGUAGUGUUGAUGUUCUAACGUUGACCCCUUAUCGGGGUUGCGGACAGUGCCUGGUGGGUAGUUUGACUGGGGCGGUCUCCUCCCAAAGAGUAACGGAGGAGCACGAAGGUGGGCUAAUCACGGUUGGACAUCGUGAGGUUAGUGCAAUGGCAUAAGCCCGCUUGACUGCGAGAAUGACAAUUCGAGCAGGUGCGAAAGCAGGUCAUAGUGAUCCGGUGGUCCUGAAUGGAAGGGCCAUCGCUCAAUGGAUAAAAGGUACUCCGGGGAUAACAGGCUGAUACCGCCCAAGAGUUCAUAUCGACGGCGGUGUUUGGCACCUCGAUGUCGGCUCAUCACAUCCUGGGGCUGAAGUCGGUCCCAAGGGUAUGGCUGUUCGCCAUUUAAAGUGGUACGCGAGCUGGGUUUAGAACGUCGUGAGACAGUUCGGUCCCUAUCUGCCGUGGGCGUUGGAAGAUUGAAGGGGGCUGCUCCUAGUACGAGAGGACCGGAGUGGACGAACCUCUGGUGUUCGGGUUGUGUCGCCAGACGCAUUGCCCGGUAGCUAAGUUCGGAAUCGAUAACCGCUGAAAGCAUCUAAGCGGGAAGCGAGCCCUGAGAUGAGUCUUCCCUGAUACUUUAAGUAUCCUAAAGGGUUGUCGGAGACUACGACGUUGAUAGGUCAGGUGUGUAAGUGCUGUGAGGCAUUGAGCUAACUGAUACUAAUUGCCCGUGAGGCUUAACCAUACAACACCCAAGGGGUUU